rnacentral:rRNA from 1 species
CACGCAGGCGGUUUGUUAAGUCAGAUGUGAAAUCCCCGGGCUCAACCUGGGAGCUGCAUCUGAUACUGGCAAGCUUGAGUCUCGUAGAGGGGGUAGAAUUCCAGGUGUAGCGGUGAAAUGCGUAGAGAUCUGGAGGAAUACCGGUGGCGAAGGCGGCCCCUGGACGAAGACUGACGCUCAGGUGCGAAAGCGUGGGAGCAAACA